GUGUUGAGGGCUGGGCUUAAGGUGGUCUGCAUCCAUCCCCAAGGGACCUGUUGUGGUGGCAGACUCAAGCACUGCUUGAGUAUUCCCAGAAAGCGCUGUUUCAGUUGAUGGACAAAGGAAGAGUUGCUUUCCCAGUGUGAGUGGCCAUUGUCUUAGCCUCCAAGGAUACCGAGGAGAAACAGCAAAGGAGAGUGUCACACAGCAGAGGACUGAAGUGGAGAGAAGCUGCUUCUGAGACAGGGUCUUAUUCAGACAGGAAUAAGGGAGGAACACUGGAGGGAGCUGCAGAGCAGGAGCAGCUGCAUGCUUCCGUCUUUAAUUAUUCCAAAACCUGCCCUUUAGAGCCUAUAGGAGCCACCAGGGAAACUGUUAUGCCAGCUACUGAAGUGCAAACAAAGCAAAACAAAACAAAAACAAGACAACUAACCAGCCAACCAGAACCUCUUUCUAAUAUGAAGAUAACCAAAUGUUUGUCAGCACUGGGCAAUCCCCGAGACGUCGCGAUUUGGGCAAGGCAUCUAAAGUCAUGGUGAAGGCCUUCGUGGACUCCUGCUCUGCAAGCAGGGCCUGCAGAGUCCUUUGGUAUCUGCUCAUUACUUGAUGAAGAACUACCAGCAGGCAGCCGGGAUCCACCAAGCUGUCCUCUUACUGGAUGCUGCCCGAGGUCUGCUCGGGUCCAAAUAAAAAGCUAUGGAGAGUGAACACUUGGGCAGCAGCCUGCGGGUCGCUGCCAGGGACGCUGUUCUGCUUUGUCUCCCGUUGCUGGAUACUGUUUCAGCAAGGUGAAAGUGCUGGAGCUGCAAAUGGCCUCGCUGAGCAUGAUUACCAGAGCCACAGAUGGGUUCCAGAAGCUUGCUCAAGCUCAUAUGCAGAAGCAAAUGGAAAUCCAGACAAUGACAUCCAUAGUCUUACCAAGAUGUAUUCCAGAAUCAUUUGAUUUUCUGACUAUAAAAGAAAUCUUAUACCUUGGAGAAAAUGUAGAUGAUAGAGAAGAAAAUAAAAUACCUGGAGAAUAGACAAAGGGAAGCAUGGGGGGGGGUGAUCAGACAGCACGAGAGGAGGCAGCAAGCUCUCCUCUGCAGCCUGCACGGUGACUCUGACCUCAGAGGGCUGCAGCUGCUGACUGAGCUCACGGAAGUUAUUUAUCAUCAUCUAGCAAUUGGAAUGAUGACACACUCACCUCUGAGACUCUAAGAGGACCCAUCGGUCAGUAGACUCAUGUUAAUGACUGGAAUUAUAGCUUAGCCCUGGGAAUCACUCUGUAGAUAUCAGCUGCUUUGGUAGCCACCAGGCAUGGUGUCCUGGGAACAGGGUGGGUUGUGUUGUGUCAGAUACCAGGCUCUUCUGAGGGGCAUGCAUUGGUGCAGUAUUUCCAGAAGGAGACUGGUUUUGUGAUUUCUGUCUAUAUUCCUGCAUAGAUCUUCUUAUUCCACUUCUUUAGCCCCUAUUAUAAAUAUUUCUAAACUUGUCAUUGCCAGGCAUAAUGCUAGGUAUCAGGAGUAGAGGAGUGAACACCCCAGAUAAACCCUUGCUCUGGGAAUAUCUAGUGCACAUUUCUUAGAUGGAGUCCAUGCACGUUUUCUGGUUCUGCAUCUUUCUGCACGUGCUCUGUAGAAUAUGAUUUUCUCUUAUUUAAGUCACCUUUCCAGUCCUUAACCCCAGUCAGAAUUCCACUUCUGUCACCAAAUCAUCCUUGACUCCUUGGAACUAAAGUGGAUCUAUUUACUGGGCACAUGCUUCAUCACAAGUACUAACAUUGCUCUUCUGGAGUGUCUGAAGCCCUCAUUCUUCACUUCUCUGCUGACGCUUACAAUGUCUACCUUGAUUCUGGUUAUUUAUGUUCCCGAUCCUGCUCUCCUACAAAACACAGCUCUUUGCAAUUAAGAUCUCGGAUUCAUCUGUCUUUGUCUCCCUUGCCCUACCAAGCACAAGGCCAUGUGCCUAAAUGAUAUUUAAUUGCUGGUUUUUGAAUAAAAUAAUGAAGGAAGGAGCUGGCCAUGAUGAAUGAUGUCUUAGAUGGGAACAUGUGAGACACUAACCAGUUGACAGAAGAAACAAAGCUCCCUCCUUAGCCCCAAUGGGUUUGAGUCCUUUUCAGGGAGGAUUGUGGAUAGGGCAGAGCUGGAGCAACUGCUGGUUGUUUCCUUGGGCUCUUUAUUUCUAAUGGCACUCCAGGGGGCAGGGACAAAAUGAAAGCUAUUAAUGCCCAAAGGCUGCUCAUUCUGCCCCCAUUCCUCAGGACCUCAGGUGCUGUUUAUUUCCUACAGAUGCUGUAACAAAUUACCCUGAGCUUGCUCACUGAAAACAGCAUCAGUUUAUUGUCUUGCAGUUGUGAUGUCAGAAGUCCAAGAUGACUUUCGCAGGCCUCAAAUGCAGCUAUUGACAAGGGUAUGUCCCACCUGGCUGGUCCAGGCCCCCCUCUCCUUCCAGCACCUCAUGUACUCCUCAGCUCUGGCCCUUCGCCCCACAUCUGUUUCUGGCCCCUCAUCCUCUUUUGAGUCUGUCCUCUCUGUCUCUCUCUAUAAAGGGCCCCUGCAAUGCUGGGGGUCCAUCCAACUAAGUGCUGUGUCUAGUGCAGCUCUUGAGAAUCUCUAGGGCAGAGGAUGGUAAAGGAAUGAAGGCAGGAGUGAAAACGUGGAAAGCUGAGGUCAGGCAGAGCUGCUCUCCUGGUGGGAGGGAAAGAACCAUCCAGUGACUGCAGCACAUUUAUUCACACACUCAGCGGGUUGGUGUCAGGCAAGACCCCUCUGCCUAGCAACUCGCUGGCCCAGCUCACCUCGGUGCCCCUGUUCUCGGGCUGGAUGAACGUGUUCACCAGGCUUGCCUCAGGCACACUGUGUUCUUGGGGCUGACCUUGCUCUAGCCCCAUGUGUGUGAUCAACCUUCAACUUCAGCUGCUCCCCACACCUCAGUCAGGGUCAUCUCCUCCUCUCUGGGUCCUUCACUUUAUCACCUUGGCCAAAUCCCUUUUGCUAUGUGAGAUAAUAUGGUCCCGGGUUGUGGGGAUGGACUCAACUGUCACAUCUUUGGUCUCUAGGCCUCCAAACAAGGCUGGGGUUGGAGGAUGGCAGGUGUGUCUGUGGUUGAUUCCCUCAGGGCCUGAAGUGUCCUGAGUUGCUAUCUUGGCAUCAUGAUCUGGACUGGUCAUUCUUUCUCUGACUUCCACUGUAUGGACAGCACCCUUGCCCUUGGGGGUCUCCUUCCUGCAGUACACAUGAUCCUCACGUUCAGUCUGUUUUCUACAGUUUUAUUCUUACAGUGUUGAAUAAUAGGAAAAUAGAGACAGUGUUUUUUUCUUCUCCCCAUACAGUUCUUAUCUUGAAAAAUUAUAUUUAUUGUGUGUAUGCAGAUACUUGCUCAGCACCAGGUAGUGAUAACACUGCCUUCAUUUUUAACAAUUAAACAUCUUCAAAGUCAGCUUCCAAGACCGAUCACACUCCUCUUCAGUGAGUGACUAUCCUUAGUCUGCCUCAUUAGACAAAUUGAUCAUGGCCCUCUUACAGUCACUCUAAUAACCAAGACUUGUCUUGUGAUGCGGGCGGUCAGUAAUCUUACCUACAAGCAUUUCCUGCAUGCACGCUAGGGAUGGCACAAGAAAUGAUCCAGAGAUGCAAUAUGAAAUAGUUUGACAAAUAGGAAAACUGUCCCCUUCUUCAUGUUGGAGAGAAAAUUGUGGUGUCUAGAGGAAUCGACUGAAAGAAAAGUAGACAGUGUCUGGGCACAGUACUCUGUGGGCACAGACGGUGUUCCUGUUUAAGCUUUCCUGUCGAAAAUAUGGAAAUGGGAUUAUGAUGGACCUCUGUCCAUUUGUAGCCUGGAAUAGUCUUGCAAGCCUAGGGGAAAACAGUAAAGAAAAAGAGAAUUAUGAUAACUGUUGUUAGCAUGCUGUGUGUUCCAUAGAAAGUUUUGACUUUGUUACUCUUUAGAAGUGAAACUUACCCAGUGUGGUGGGGCUUUAAUAUCUGUGAAUUAAAAAAUAAUUUGUAAUAUUAAAUUCAAUCCAGAUUAUUUAAACUUACUAGACAAAAUAUAUAAAUCUAAAGUGAUAUCCUGAUGGAAACAAAGCAGCACAAACUAUACUUUUAGAAAUCAUGAGAGACUGCUUUUUAGCUCUCUGUACUUUCUUUAACCUUGAGAAACACAUUAUAUUAAAGAAUGUGUUUGUUUCUUUGGCAGAGUGUAGAACAAAGCUGUCUAAAAUACUUUCAACGACCUUCUCUGUAAAUGCAGAAUAAUCGUACAAAUGUUGGCUUUUAGUUUGCUCCCAGGGAGACUUUUAGCUUGUAGUGGGAAACAGAGUUCUGUAUCUGUUUGAUUUCCUGUCUGCAGGGGCUUGCAGUGGACAGGUGGCUUGGAAGCUGGCUGUGUCCAGGCAGAGCUCUGUCUCUGUGGCUCCUCACUGUGGUUAGGCAUGGAUUUGCAGGGCAGACCUGGCCCAUGCAAUCUACACAGGGGUGGCCCCUUGGGGCAGGAAGUCAUCCUGCAGUGGGGAGUGGUGCUGUACCACAGUUGCACGUUCCUCACUGUGGCUGAGGGCCUGGCACCCAUGCCUGACUUCUGCCCCUUCCUUCCUCUGGGCAGCUCCUCUCAGCUGGCUGGAGUCCUCCCUGAGGUCUUCAGUGUCACUUUGACAAGACCCAUCUGCUCUCCAUGGGCACCCACCUCUCCUGGGCAGCAGGGUAGUCCUAGGUGUGCACAUGUGUGCCCCUGUACAGCUCCAGGUCCAGGGCACCAAGAAGCCUAGAAAAGAAGGAUACCUUUCCACUUAUAGAGUUGUGAUUAAAAUGUGUUGAAAGAAAUUUAAUAAGGACAAGAAAAAUGGUUGCCAACUAAAAUUCCCAGUCCAUCACUGGGUAUUUUUUCUGAUGACUUCUAGGGCUGGAAGGUACAUGCGCAGCUCUUACUCUAUAAGAAGGAGUGGAGUUUGGGUCAACAGGAUUGCACUUCUAGGGAGUAAGAGCAGAGACUUGGAAGGCUCUGGAGGGCUCAGUGGUCUACACAUCUGUGACUGUACUUGCUGCUCUGCAGUGCACACUUACUUGUUGGGAUAGAUUUCCUCAGUUACUGGGACUUUAGGGCAGCUGUGGUGAACCUGUGGCACAUGUGGUGAACCUAUGGCACAUGGCCAUUUGUUACCACUGAAAGCUCUAAAAGGUUCCCCUUCAUGGUUGUGGGGGAUGGUGUUCUGCUCUAACCUGACUUCCUUGAUCUGUGCCUGUGCUGUGUGGUUUUCCUUGGGUGUGACUUCAGUAGCAUGAGCAAUGUCGCCAUCUACUGCAGUCAGCAGGGAUCCUGCAUGCAGAAGUGAGUCCCCACCAACACCCUGAGGUGAGCGUGUGGGAACUCCGGCCUGCCACUUCUUCCUGUGGGGCCAAGCUGGCCUCCCAGGGCCUCUGCUGAGCAGCCACCUAUGGGUGGCUCCACUCUCCUCAUCCUGCUCCC